CCUGCCUGCCAGUAGAACACAACACAACCGCUCUGUGAAUAACACCAUCUGACCAACAGCAAACACAGUCAAAUCCAUGGGCACCAUCACAUUCAGCAGAUGCCCAGAUGUGGACCGCAGCAAUGCAAUGCAGCUAUCUCCCCAUUCUCUUGUUGGUGCUAGUUCUGCCCAUCAGCAAGGGAGACUAUGUUAGGGCUGCAUUAGGGCCACCGUACUUGACUCCAAAGGCAAUCCAACUCAAACUGUAACCAAGGACGAUGGCUUGUAUGGCUACAAUUCACCACAAUGGGAGCGGAAAGGAAUCGCGAUGGCACCUGCACCGAAUCAUGGAGUGGUGGAACGCCAGGGCUGUGACCCCUACACACACUUACUGGUUCCCCCCGGACAGGACACUGGGUGGCCCUGCUGCAGCGUGGCAACUGUACCUUCAAGAAAAAGAUAUUCAACGCCCCCAGGAGGCCACCGUCCUAAUGGCCCAUGAAGGUACGGCUGAUACGGUGGCUGUGAUGACCACCGAGUAUACGGCAAGGAGAUGGUGGGCCGGCUAGAGAGGAACCUGGAGGUGCUGAAUGGUCCAACACACAAAGGACAUCCAGCCAACUGGACACAACUGUGGGAAGCAUCGGAGUCAACUUGGGCCAGCGUCACUGUGAAACGUUUUCAACACCUUGUAGAGUUCAUGCCCCAACGAAUUGAGGCUGUUCUGAGGGCAACUCAACAUUAGGUAGGUGCUCCUAAAGUUUUGUCCACUCGGUGUAUACGUUCUUGCGCUUACACUUGCACUUAUCUUUUGUUACUAUCACUGACUUUGUUGAUAUUGUGGAACAGUUUGACUUACUGUGACUGUGAUAUGUGGUGGGUUUACCUACCUUAAGAUGAACGCAUGAACUAAGUUGCUCUGGAUAAGUGUCUGUUAAAUGGCUAAAAAACAAAACAAAUGUAUCACUUCAUAAUAUCCCCAUAGAACAGAGACAUCUAGUGGUUAAAUUAUACAUUGGCGCUUCACUCGUAAGUGUACACAUUUAUUGAAUUAACUUACAUUUUACUUAGAAAUUAGAAACAAUUCAAUCAUGCAGUCAAAUUAAAAUGAGCAAAUUAUACAAAUAAAUCUUCUGAGAAAAGUUUAAAGCACUCAAUGACCAAAGUGAUAUAAAAGUAUGAAGUUAUGCAUUAUAUUAAUAUGAAAAGCCUUGCAAAUAAAUACAUUUAUUCAAUUGGAAAUUUUACAAAACUGAUCUGCUUGGUGUAUUUUCAAUGUGGUUCUGUCUCCAUGGAAUUAAGAAACUAGUAACUUUUACCACAUGAAAAGUUGAUAUCUUAACCAAAUCUUAACCUUAAUUCAAGAAACAUCUUAGCCUUAAUAAAAAAAAUAAUCUUUAGAUAAUUUACAGGAAAUAUUAAGAUCCAUAAAUAUAGUGUUGGAUUUUUGCAAACAACCCAUAUUUGUAUGAAGUUCCUUAUACAAUGUUUCAGCCAGAAUGACACUCCCCAGUGACACAGCCUGUAUUGACCUUUGAACUUUGUGUACAUUUUGGGUGCUAAUGUUCUAACCUAGUUUUCAGACUGCAUUCCACUGGACGUCUCCACUACAAGAACAGCAAGAGGAACUGCCCCUCACUAACUUCAGGCUAGGCUCAAACCCUACACCCCAACCUGAGUACUCUGUUCUGCCACCUCUGGUCUCUUGGCUCUCCCACCCCUACAGGAGGGCAGCUCCCCCUCAGCCCAGUCAAAGCUCUUCUCUGUCCUGGCACCCCAAUGGUGGAACCAUCUUCAGAAAACAUCUGAAACCCUACCUCUUCAAAGACUAUUUUAAAUAAUCCCCCUCCUCACCUCAAUCCCACCCCCCCUCAA